GUUUGAUCCUGGCUCAGAGUGAACGCUGGCGGCAGGCCUAACACAUGCAAGUCGAACGGCAGCACAGUGGUAGCAAUACCAUGGGUGGCGAGUGGCGGACGGGUGAGGAAUACAUCGGAAUCUACCUUUUCGUGGGGGAUAACGUAGGGAAACUUACGCUAAUACCGCAUACGACCUUAGGGUGAAAGCGGAGGACCUUCGGGCUUCGCGCGGAUAGAUGAGCCGAUGUCGGAUUAGCUAGUUGGCGGGGUAAAGGCCCACCAAGGCGACGAUCCGUAGCUGGUCUGAGAGGAUGAUCAGCCACACUGGAACUGAGACACGGUCCAGACUCCUACGGGAGGCAGCAGUGGGGAAUAUUGGACAAUGGGCGCAAGCCUGAUCCAGCCAUGCCGCGUGGGUGAAGAAGGCCUUCGGGUUGUAAAGCCCUUUUGUUGGGAAAGAAAAGCAGUCGGUUAAUACCC
rnacentral:rRNA from 1 species